rnacentral:tRNA from 1 species
CGGGGCGUAGCGCAGCCCGGUAGCGCGCCUGUUUUGGGAGCAGGAUGUCGGAGGUUCAAAUCCUCUCGCCCCGA